AUGGCAGAAUGCUUCAAUAAGGUGCUCAAGGGUGUACGUGCAUUACCCGUGACGGCAAUAGUUCAAUACACAUUUGACAAGAUGAAUGAAUACUUUUUAAAGUACUCAAUGGAGACUGAUAAGCAGAUUGCUGGUGAGAACAAGGAUAAACACAAGUACAAUUUCCCACCAAAGGUUGAAGAAUGGUUGGAAUUUCAAUCACGAAAGGCAGACUCCGAAGAAGCUGUACUAUAUGACGACAACGAGUGGAAGUAUGAGGUGAAAGAGCCUGGAGGAACCACAAACGAUGGCCGCCAACACGGAGGCCGGGCUUUCAAGGUCUCCCUAACACGGUGUGAUUGCAGCUGCAUGAGGCCAUCGUUGCUUCAUCUCCCAUGCUCGCACUUGUUAAACACAUCCCGGGUUAGGAAUGUGGACGUCAAUCACCCUCUUACUGUGAGGGAGUCCGAGUUCUCAAUCAUGACGGUAAAUAAUACAUGGACUCCACGGUUCCAGCCAUACUUGGACCAAUCACAAUGGCGGGAGUAUCAUGGAGUUCAACUAUGGCCGAACCCGGAAUUGAAGGUUGUUAGACGGGGAAGACGUAAGACAAAGCAUCUUAGAGGUGACAUGGACGAAUGGGCCGUGGUGGCGGUGGAGAAUACGGCACCGGCCAAUUCCAAGAGCCUCGUGAGCAAUCCCGUUGUGGGGGCUGCAGUCAUGGGGGACACAACACAAGAACUUGUCCCAAACCAAGAAAGAGAUCAAAGAAAAAUGGUGCAAGCACAAGCCAAGCAAAUGAUAGCCAACCAAGUGAACCAAGGGGUAGCCAACCAAGUCAAACAAGUGGUGGAGUGCCAAACCAACCAAAUCAAACAAGCCAACGAGGAACUAGGCAACAAAGAGGGAGUCAACUUGGUCUUAGAAGAGGCCGUGGUGGUGGUAGAGGUCGUGGUGAUGGUCUUGGCCAUGGUGAAGGUCUUGGCCGUGGUGAUGGUCUUGGCCGUGGUGGUGGUAGAGGCCGUGGUGAUGGUCUUGGCCGUGGUGCUGGUAGAGACCAUGGUGAUGGUCUUGUCCGUGGUGGUGGUGGUGGUAGAGGCCGUGGUGGUGGUGUAG
rnacentral:rRNA from 1 species